AUCAAACCUCAACAAUCAGCGGAGCAGAGAGGCACAGCUAAAACGUACUGCAAAGGAGUCGCACAAUGCACAAAGGAUAAGAAUACCAGACAGUCCUGCAGAAGGAACUGAAAAAAACCAUGGCGAACGUAAGCGGGAGAUUAAUGAAAGAAGAAGAGCUGCGCGUUAUGUCUUGAAACGAAAUACCCAGUAAAUAUGAGAAGAAAGUUCAAUUGUUCACAACUAAUGAACUUAUAGAAAGUCGCAGAGUGUCGUGGAGGCAAAUAACAGUUAAUAAAAAACUAUAGCAACCUCAAAACUCUUUAGUAAAAUUCCAAAUGCUUUUGUUUGCUUGGUUAACAAGUCUCCGUGUAUUGAAGACGAGACCAUUUGGUGCAUCAUUAGCAUAAUUUAUUGAUUUCUCCUAGCUAAAUGUGCGAAAAAGAAGCUUUGUGCGCCUAAGUGGCACCUAC